rnacentral:rRNA from 1 species
UGGUGGAGCGAUUUGUCUGGAUAAUUCCGAUAACGAACGAGACUCUGGCCUAUUAAAUAGUUCGCCGAUUCCGAUCUGUCGGCGUUAACUUCUUAGAGGGACAAGUGGCUUUUAGCCACGCGAGAUUGAGCAAUAACA